rnacentral:sRNA from 1 species
UAAAUCAUAAAUAUGUUUGUGUGUAAGCAGUUACAUGGAACUCUGCUUUAUAACCGUCAAAAUUUGCUUUGCCUUCUGUCAAAAAUCUUAGUGGGCUACUCAAAAAUUAUUCACCACACUAAACGUCAGGCCUUUACAUACCGCACUGAGGAUUUUUGUCGAAGAACAAAAAAAAAAGAGAUUAUUUCUUUCGAAAAAGGUAGAGGCUUUGGCUCUUAAGCGCAAAUUAGCUGCCAAAAUUGUAGCUGCAGCCGCAGUUGGCAACACAGGAUCCGCUUGGCAGAGUAGCAAUUUAAAAAAUUUGCUAAUUCAACUUCAAAAAUGUCAAGUUUGAAUAAAAUUUUCUACGAUUUAAGUUAUUCGCCCUAUGGUGUCAUUUUGUUUUUUUUUUUAUUUCUAUACAUCAUACAUCAGCAGUAUUGUUAUGUCUCUCAUACCAUUUGUUAGUUUACUUCUUUCUUUUUACCAAGUGUCAAUAAAACCACACAUGUACUCAUAUACAAUUUUUUU